AGAGCCCCCUCUCGACGGCAAAGUGAAGCGGCGCGGAGAGCGUGACGGCACACGUGCGAUUGCGAUUCGAAGAGCUUCCGCGCGCGGCCAAGCAGGCGCAUAUCAG
rnacentral:lncRNA from 1 species